rnacentral:lncRNA from 1 species
AUGAUGUAGUGACUAAUUUGUGAAACCCACGGAUUCACCUCUGAAUCUUCUUUCUCUCCCCACUUCUCUAGGUUUCCAGGAUCCCAUUUUCUACUAGGGGGAGCACAGCAUUAUAAAGCAACUAACAUUCUCUUUUUCUCCACAGGUUUGCGUAGCAUACCUUUUGUUCCAUGAUGUAAAAGUGAGUUCUGAUGUCAGUCCAUAAUCUGUCAUCUAACCUAUAAUAAUAACAUUUUCACAGCGAUUUGAAGACUUAUAAAGUGAUCUACUUAUCUGUAAUCUUACUUGGUCCUCAUAAUAAUCCUAAAGCCCUGUGAGGUGCUAUUUUCAUCUCCAUUUUACAGAUGAGAAAACUGAGGAUUUCAGAGUGAUUUCCCUCUGGACAUACAUCUAUUAAAUGUCUAAGGCUAGAAUAAUCAUCAGGGAGCUUCUGUCAGCCCAGGGUCCCCUUGUCACAGGAUGGCACAUCCGGAGGAGCCUCGGAGUCUCCUGGGUUGGUGCAGUUAGGAUUUUGUCGUAUCAGAACUCUCAGAGUUACCUUUCGGAAGUGAUGCCCUGCUAAGCCCAGGGACCACACUUCAUCCCGGGAAAAAUCACUCACACACAGCAAGAUUUCUUUGAACUCUUUUUCCAUACCAGGCCAAGUAUGGUGGGAUAUUGUCCUAAACAGUUUAGAAUAUUGCACGUGAAUGAAGGCGGGUUUAAAAAAAUGAUUAAGCCUUUACUCGAUUCCAGCACUGGGCUAAGUUCUCGGUAGACAAAUACAAGCAUGCAUGACAGUCCUGCUCUGGAGAAGCGUACACUCUAAUAGGAGAAUAUGACCCAUAAAGGGGCGAUAGAGUUGGAGAGAGGGGAAGCUCGGUGGUACAGCGAAUAGAGCACCAGAUCUGGAGUCAAGAAGAUUCAUUUUUCUGAGUUCAAAUUUGACUACAGAUACUUACUAGCUAGGUGACUCUGGGCAAGUCAUUUAACCCUGGUUGCCUCAGUUUCCUCAUCUGUCAAAUGAGUCAGAGAAGGAAAUCGCAAACCACUCCAAGAAAACCAAGAAUUUUUUUUUUUUGCCAAGAAAACCCCAAAUGGGAACACAGACACAGCUUAAAAUGACUGAACUGCAAGAAAAUUGGAAAGGGAAGGGAAAAAAGCUCACUUUUCAGAGCCCAGUGUUCCAGGGCUAGAGUCCAAAUUUCAGUGGAAAAGGGAUAUACUUCACCUUGAUAGAGGGGGCACUGAUUCUUCUCCCUGCAUAUCUUGGCAAGCCUAAUACUCCAGGACUCUUUACUAAAAAUGGAAGAUAUAAUAAUAAAAAAUUAAUAAUAAAUAAAUAUGAUAAUAAA